rnacentral:tRNA from 1 species
GGGAGAUUAGCUUAACUGGUUGAGCAGUCGUUUUACACACGAUAGGCUAGGGGUUCGAGUCCCUUAUUUCCCA